UUUUUUUUUUUUUUUUUUUUUUUUUUUUUUUUUUCCAGUGCAACUAUUUUCUUUACAUGUGGUAUUACACGAAAGAAGGAUAUACGCCUAAACCGAAAGCAUCAAAAAAGCAAUCACCACACUACUAUUCACGCUCUAUCUUAUCACCAUUUUUUAAUUUUCUGUAUUAG
rnacentral:ribozyme from 14 species